rnacentral:rRNA from 1 species
GGAAGUAAAAGUCGUAACAAGGUCUCCGUUGGUGAACCAGCGGAGGGAUCAUUACCGAGUUUACAACUCCCAAACCCCUGUGAACAUACCUAUACGUUGCCUCGGCGGAUCAGCCCGCGCCCCGUAAAACGGGACGGCCCGCCCGAGGACCCCUAAACUCUGUUUUUAGUGGAACUUCUGAGUAAAACAAACAAAUAAAUCAAAACUUUCAACAACGGAUCUCUUGGUUCUGGCAUCGAUGAAGAACGCAGCAAAAUGCGAUAAGUAAUGUGAAUUGCAGAAUUCAGUGAAUCAUCGAAUCUUUGAACGCACACUGCGCCCGCCAGUAUUCUGGCGGGCAUGCCUGUUCGAGCGUCAUUUCAACCCUCAAGCUCAGCUUGGUGUUGGGACUCGCGGUAACCCGCGUUCCCCAAAUCGAUUGGCGGUCACGUCGAGCUUCCAUAGCGUAGUAAUCAUACACCUCGUUACUGGUAAUCGUCGCGGCCACGCCGUUAAACCCCAACUUCUGAAUGUUGACCUCGGAUCAGGUAGGAAUACCCGCUGAACUUAAGCAUAUCAAUAAGCGGAGGA